CAAUAGCGUAUAUUAAAGUUGUUGCGGUUAAAAAGCUCGUAGUUGGAUUUCUGCUGAGAACGACCGGUCCGCCCUCUGGGUGUGUAUCUGGCUCUUUCUUGGCAUCUUCUUGGUGAACGUUGCUGCACUUGACUGUGUGGAGCGCUACCCAGGACUUUUACUUUGAGGAAAUUAGAGUGUUUCAAGCAGGCAUACGCCUUGAAUACAUUAGCAUGGAAUAAUAAGAUAGGACCUCGGUUCUAUUUUGUUGGUUUCUAGAGCUGAGGUAAUGAUUAAUAGGGAUAGUUGGGGGCAUUCGUAUUUAACUGUCAGAGGUGAAAAUCUUGGAUUUGUUAAAGACGGACUACUGCGAAAGCAUUUGCCAAGGAUGUUUUCAUUGA
rnacentral:rRNA from 1 species